GAUGAACGCUGGCGGCGUGCUUAACACAUGCAAGUCGAACGAAGCACUUUAUUUGAUUUCCUUCGGGACUGAUUAUUUUGUGACUGAGUGGCGGACGGGUGAGUAACGCGUGGGUGACCUGCCUUGUACAGGGGGAUAACAGUUGGAAACGGCUGCUAAUACCGCAUAAGCGCACAGCAUCGCAUGAUGCAGUGUGAAAAACUCCGGUGGUAUAAGAUGGACCCGCGUUGGAUUAGCUAGUUGGUGAGGUAACGGCCCACCAAGGCGACGAUCCAUAGCCGACCUGAGAGGGUGACCGGCCACAUUGGGACUGAGACACGGCCCAAACUCCUACGGGAGGCAGCAGUGGGGAAUAUUGCACAAUGGGCGAAAGCCUGAUGCAGCGACGCCGCGUGAGCGAAGAAGUAUUUCGGUAUGUAAAGCUCUAUCAGCAGGGAAGAUAAUGACGGUACCUGACUAAGAAGCACCGGCUAAAUACGUG
rnacentral:rRNA from 1 species